rnacentral:rRNA from 1 species
UUAGGGAAUCUUCGGCAAUGGACGGAAGUCUGACCGAGCAACGCCGCGUGAGUGAAGAAGGUUUUCGGAUCGUAAAGCUCUGUUGUAAGAGAAGAACGAGUGUGAGAGUGGAAAGUUCACACUGUGACGGUAUCUUACCAGAAAGGGACGGCUAACUACGUGCCAGCAGCCGCGGUAAUACGUAGGUCCCGAGCGUUGUCCGGAUUUAUUGGGCGUAAAGCGAGCGCAGGCGGUUAGAUAAGUCUGAAGUUAAAGGCUGUGGCUUAACCAUAGUACGCUUUGGAAACUGUUUAACUUGAGUGCAAGAGGGGAGAGUGGAAUUCCAUGUGUAGCGGUGAAAUGCGUAGAUAUAUGGAGGAACACCGGUGGCGAAAGCGGCUCUCUGGCUUGUAACUGACGCUGAGGCUCGAAAGCGUGGGGAGCAAACAGGAUUAGAUACCCUGGUAGUCCACGCCGUAAACGAUGAGUGCUAGGUGUUAGACCCUUUCCGGGGUUUUAGUGCCGUAGCUAACGCAUUAAGCACUCCGCCUGGGGAGUACGACCGCAAGGUUG